rnacentral:rRNA from 1 species
UCGGGAAUUUUGGGCAAUGGGCGAAAGCCUGACCCAGCAACGCCGCGUGAAGGAUGAAGUAUUUCGGUAUGUAAACUUCGAAAGAAUAGGAAGAAUAAAUGACGGUACUAUUUAUAAGCUCCGGCUAACUACGUGCCAGCAGCCGCGGUAAUACGUAGGGAGCAAGCGUUGUUCGGAUUUACUGGGCGUAAAGGGCGCGUAGGCGGCGCGGUAAGUCACUUGUGAAAUCUCUGAGCUUAACUCAGAACGGCCAAGUGAUACUGCAGUGCUAGAGUGCAGAAGGGGCAAUCGGAAUUCUUGGUGUAGCGGUGAAAUGCGUAGAUAUCAAGAGGAACACCUGAGGUGAAGACGGGUUGCUGGGCUGACACUGACGCUGAGGCGCGAAAGCUAGGGUAGCAAACGGGAUUAGAUACCCACGUAGUCCCUGAGCGGGCUGGCAAGGCGCAU